ensembl:lncRNA
AUCGCUGCGUUUCGCUGCUUGUAUGCUGAGCUGGAGUGAAAAGGCUUGUCUUAAAGUGACAGGAGGAUAUUCAUUAGUCAGUGUGUUAGGAGCAGGCUCCUGCAGCACGGAGGAAAAGGAAGGAACCCCAGGGCUCCGUCGCUAGGCAACCGUGUGGGGUGGAGCCAGCACCCGGCCUCACGGGCUUCCAAUAAACAGAUUCUUAUUUCAACAUCCAAUAGAAUCGCAAAAUUGGAAGCAACCUAAAUGUUCCCGAACUCGAGCCUCAUUAAACAAAUUGUGGUACACACACAUGAUGGAGUAUCAUGCUUUUCUGAAACAAUUUAUUGAGGAAGAUUUAGCCAUAUGGGAACAUGCCCACUGCAGUAUGUGCAACGCACACACAGCAUAUAACACACACACAUGCACACACACACACACAUGGGCAAAGCGCCAAAAUGCCAACCGACCGUGGUUACCUCUGACCACAGGCUCACAGAUCACUCUUUCCUUUGUGAACCCUCCUGCGUGUUUUCCGAGGUCUUCACACUGCUCGUCCGUCAGCAAUCAGGAAGACGGAGCGCGGUUAAAGAGCCCAGGGUGAAGAAGAGUUAAGACUGUUAUCCAGUUCCUGAAUCCACCUUGGGAAAUGAAGUGUCCGCAUGACCUGGAAGAGAAAUGCAACCGUCGCCACUUCUUUUUGGAGGAAUAAUUUUAAAGGUGAAGUUCAGACGGCCCUGCCAGGCGGAAAGGAGACGUGAGGCUGCAGAAGACGGCUCUGCCGGGGCAGAUGUUUAUAGAAGACGCUCUUUCAAUAAACAUUCACCUCUCACCAUCUGUCAGCAGGUGCGGAGGGGUCAGGCAGGCACGCCCCGGAGGAGCGGACGGACGGGCGGGAGCACCAACCAGGUCAGAAAGCCACAGUCCUGGAGAGCAGAACCCCUCUCUGACACGUGCUAGACACGGGGAGGAGAUGAUUCUGAGAGGGCAAGUCCACACAGACGUCCCUGCAGCACUGCGCGCGCCCACCGCUGCGCUGGCCGGGCCGACACGUGUGCUUCACACCCGGCCAACGCUGGCUCCCCAGCUGCCUUGGGUUGGGAAUAAUCUCAUCUCUCGUCUUGGAGCUAACAGGACCCAGAUGAUGGCACACCCCUGCCAAGGAACGUGGAGGAUGGAGGGAACUCCACCACCUUGCACCUGCAGGGCCCAGAGGGCUCUGGGAUCCAGGCGAGGACGAAGGCACCAGAGCUGCCACUGCCCUGCACACCCUCAGGACCCUGCCCCAGGCAGGAAGCAGACGCCUCUCUCAGGACGCUUUGCUGGCUAUGCCACUGCCAUGCCAGGGGCGGCACCUGCACACGCGUGGAGCAGGAAGCUGACAACACGCCACAUUCCCAGGAAUCAUCCCCUUCGGUAACAGAGAACAGAAGGUGACAAAAUUGGAGGUAAAUUAUUCAGUUUCUUCUCUGCCCCGCGUGGGAGCUCAUUGCAUUUGUCCACAUCGCUCGCCCGAGGCUGGCCCCUCGGGCUGACUGACAGCCGUCUGGCAGAGCCCUGAUCUGCAGGAGCUGCAGUGCCCGGCCCUAGCGCUGACAAGCAAACUUUGAUCCAGGCUCUGCUCACGCAUUCCAAGCUUCCUGCAAGUGUCAGGCUGGGCUGCGCCGUGCCUGACAGGCGGCUGAGUCCCCACCCCCGGCAGUCAUGGGCGGGCAUCGUGGCUGAGACAGCCGGAGAAGCCGGCAUGUCUGCGCGAGUGUCACCGGGAAUAUUCUCCAAGCGAUCACUUGGGCACAGCCCUGAAAGAGACAGCUCAGGAAGCCCAUAAAUAUCGCCUGAAUGUGGGCGCUUCCAGCCUUCUGAUGAGGCCAAGGCUGCACUGACCGUGACCAGGGGCUUUGGCCCUGGGUCCAGGGCUGCGGUGUGCAGUCUUAUUGAGCACAGCCUCCCCUGGGAAAUGGGCCAGGCACAGGGUGGGGCUUGCGGCCCGGGGCACACCAGGGCCCCCGAGAAAGAGCUUGGCUCAGGGGAAGACGUGGCUACGCGGCCGGAGCUGAGUCAAGGGGAACACGGGGGCAGGGAGUUCAUCAGCCAGGCUCAGCAGAGGCCGAGCUCCACCACGGGGAGGCGCCCUCCACAGCAGGUAUCGGGCCUGGGGCCAGGGAGCGGGGCGGGCUAGAACGGCAGCGUGGGCUUCUGAGCCUCGGCGUCCAGGUGUGCGCCCAGUAGCUAAGACUGGCCACACGGCCGCCCUCCCAGUCUUCCUCCAUGCGCUCCUGAGGUGUGUGACAUCCCCGGGGCACUGGGGUGGACCUGGCUGAGCACCAGUGAUGGCUUCAAAGGCCUGGGGUCAGCGCUGCCCAACAUCCUACGCUCCGUCCACACAAGCGCAUACAUGUGCGUCCAUGUGCGCACACACC